UACGAAGGGGGCUAGCGUUGUUCGGAAUUACUGGGCGUAAAGCGCGCGCAGGCGGUCCUUUAAGUCCGGGGUGAAAGCCCAGAGCUCAACUCUGGAACUGCCUUUGAAACUAGAGGACUUGGGUACGGGAGAGGUGAGUGGAAUUCCGAGUGUAGAGGUGAAAUUCGUAGAUAUUCGGAAGAACACCAGUGGCGAAGGCGGCUCACUGGCUCGUUACCGACGCUCAGGCGCGACAGCGUGGGGAGCAAACAGG
rnacentral:rRNA from 1 species